CACUUAAGGAGCUUGAGGGCCGUGUUAAAAGGAGCCAGGUUUUCACAAGACCUCAUCCACCUCUGCACGUUGGCUGGCACUGUCACACUGCAGCCUCCGGUCUGCUGGAGCACAGACCACAGCACCACGUCUGCUACGAGAGAACAAGAAACGUGCAAUGUUCCCUUCUCCUUCAAUGGGGCACAUCGUCUGGACACUGAAUUUCAUCUGCGUCUUCGGCACUGAAAAGAAAAAACACGCGAGGUAGCAUCACCAGAGCAUCCCUGUGAGGGAAGUACUCGCACAAUGGGGAAGGGGACAGUCACCAAACACCACAGACUGAUGACAUGGGAAAGGGUGUUUUCAAUAAGAACAUCACAUUUUCAGUCUCUUAAGAUGCUUAAUACUGAAAAGGGUUUAAGUGCAAACUAUGUUAACAAAGUAACCAAAAAGCCAUUCCUGGUAUUUGAUUAUGACAGUUCUGAAGCUGGAAGGGACCUCAGACCACCUGCUCCAAUCCCUGCUGCCUAAGGAUUUGGAGGCUGAGGGCUGGAAACCCAGGAGUUGCAUCUCCCAGGCUCUUGGCCUCAUAAUCGCUUUCUGUGAGGCUGAGGGCAGUUAAGUUCUAUGCAGCAUGAACCCUUCCACCGUUUGCUUUAGUUUCACUGCUUGUAUCAUAGAAGACUCCAGGUCAUAAAAGAAGUCAAAAGCAGCCUCGAAUGAUCAGAAGCCUUCUCCCAGACUGUCUAAUGGAAAUCUGUUUUCCAGCCCGGCUUCUCCUAGGUCUUCCUCCUUAACAUCUGGCACUGGCUUGGAAACACUUCUUCCCAUUAAGCUGUCUUAUGUUAACUCUUCUGUGCAGUGUCUGUCAGCCCUUGAAUUUCUCCAAGAUCUGUACCCUGAGACUCUUCACCACCCACUUUUGCCCCAUCUGUCAUCUAUUUCAUGGUUUCCUUGGUUGUCGUAGAUCCUAUGAAGUCACGCACAUCUGGACACAGGUUUCUCCAGCAGGAAUGUACUGUUUCACCGUGAUGGCUUUCACAGCUUUGUAUACAACGAUGGCCUCUUCAAUGAUGUAAUCCUUCCAGACUCUUCAAGAUGUUCUAUCAGGGUUCUCUCUCUUUUGCUUUUUGUUUUGAGAUGGAGUCUUGCUCUGUCACCCAGGCUGGAGUGCAGUGGCAGGAUCUCACUACAACCUCCACCUCCCGGGUUCAAGCAAUUCUCCUGCCUCAGCCUCCCAAGUAGCUGGGAUUACAGGCAUGCCUAGCCAGGGGUCUCUUUCAUAGCACUGACAAUUCUUUCAUAGAAUACUGUGUGUAAUGAGCCUCAAAGGUUCUUACGACUUUUUGAUCCAUGUUGUGUUAGGGGGCAAGCAGAUGGCUUUGACACCCUUGGUGUUAACUCAUGGGGCUCUGAGUGACUGGAGCACUGAAGAACUUUCAAAGGUGUCCCUUACUGGCAAGGUACAUCCUGACUUCAGGGACAAGGCACCAAUGGAAUUAAUCCAGAAAAAGGGUUCUUGUCCAGGCAUUGUAGAACCAAAAGACGAGCAGCUGUGUUUAUCUUUUCCCGUGAAGUCUUGGGUGUUAGCAGCUUUACAGGUAAGAGCUCUCCUGAUCAUAAACACAGCUGCACCUGCACAAAACAGGAGGGUUAGCCUAGCCCUCCCUGCCUUCAAUCCUGGGACUCCCUUCCCUUCUUUACUAAUAAAUGUCCUUUGUGGUUCCCCCCACCCCAGAUUAGGGCAGUUUUGUCUGCAUUAAAAACAUGUUGACACAGGUAUCCUUUCUCCUCCAUGAUUUUCUUAAUGGCAUCUGGGAACUUGUCUGCUGCCUCUUGGUUAGCAGAAGCUGCUUCUCCUGUGAUCUUGACAUUUUUAAAAGCCAAACCUUUUCCUAAAAUUAUCAAACCAUCGUUUGCUGGCAUUAAACUCUCCAGCUUUAGAUCUUUCACCUUCCUUUGGCUUCAAGUUGUCAUAUAAUGACUUUGCUUUUUCUCAACUCAUAAGAGAGUCUAUAGGUAUGCCUUUCUAACAGGAAUCCUGCAGCCCACAUAAAAGCUGCAUUUUCUUUUCUCUUUUUUUUUGAGAUGGAGUCUCACUCUGUAUCCCAGGCUGGACUGUACUGGCGCCAUCUUGGCUCACUACAACCUC